rnacentral:misc_RNA from 1 species
GAUGAAGAACGCAGCGAAAUGCGAUAAGUAAUGUGAAUUGCAGAAUUCAGUGAAUCAUCGAAUCUUUGAACGCACCUUGCGCCCUUUGGCCAUUCCGAAGGGCAUGCCUGUUUGAGUAUCAUGAACACCUCAACUCUUUAUGGUUUUCCAUGAUGAGCUUGGACUUUGGGGGUUUUGCUGGCCUAUUGUCGGCUCCUCUAAAAUAAAUCAGCUUACCAGUGUUUGGUGGGUAUCAUGGGUGUGAUAACUAUCUACGCUUGUGGUUUUUCCGCCAGGUAACCUUCGACAGCGGAGGUUCACUGGAGCUCAUAGAUGUCUCUCCUCAGCGAGGACAGCCCUUUGAAUGUUUGAUCUCAAAUCAGGUAGGACUACCCGCUGAACUUAAGCAUAUCAAUAAGCGGAGGA